AUCGAGAAGGGCGAGGUAUGAAUCGGGACGCCGGCUUGCGAGAUCUGUAGCCCUUCCAUCCGCCGUCACAGCCGCCGGCUUGAGCAGCGGCGUUCCUCGCCGUCCCUCGGUCUCCGGCCCCGCCGGCACCGAUCUCAGGCGCCGCCGCGAUGUCGAAGGCACGGGUGUACACCGACGUGAACGUGAUCCGGCCGAAGGAGUACUGGGAUUACGAGGCGUUGACCGUCCAGUGGGG
rnacentral:misc_RNA from 1 species